UUGAGUCAGUGGUGGUUUACUAGCCUGGAUGCCAGCCAAACUUAGCCCCGCCCACGGCAUUUGAGUUCAGGAAGUUUGGCCUGGACUUGAUCGGUUGU